rnacentral:rRNA from 1 species
CAGACGGGUGAGUAACGCGUGGGUAACCUGCCCUGUACAGGGGGACAACAGCCGGAAACGGCUGCUAAUACCGCAUAAGCCCGCGGCGCCGCAUGGCGCUGCGGGGAAAACUCCGGUGGUACAGGAUGGGCCCGCGUCUGAUUAGCUAGUUGGCGGGGUAACGGCCCACCAAGGCAGCGAUCAGUAGCCGGCUUGAGAGAGUGGACGGCCACAUUGGGACUGAGACACGGCCCAGACUCCUACGGGAGGCAGCAG